rnacentral:lncRNA from 1 species
CCAAUAUCCCUGAAACGUUCAAAGGAGUGGUGUUUGUCAUUGAGUUCUUGUCGGACAAAGCAAGUAAGUCAUCUUCUCCAAUUUCCAUUACAUUUUAUUACUAACUUGCUGAUUUUUGAUGAAUCAGGUACCUACACUAGAAUCUAAACCAAUGCCGGUUCAUUUCAAGUAUCAUCGUCCAUUCAAAGAUCAAAUCCAUGCCGUGGACCUAGGAAUUGCUCUAACAACCAGAUUUGAGUUUCUAAAACCUUCACUUUGUUGCUUGUUUCUAAUCUGCCAGUUUUGUUUUUAACUUGCUGUUUGUGUGUUUCUUUGUGUUUUGUGUGAGUUUAUGCUUGAAACAUUGAGGACAAUGUUUGAUUUAAGUGUGGGGGGGGGUAAAUAAGUGUUUUUGAUGCAAAUUCGUGGGAUUUUAUCACCCUUUACUUAUAGACUUGUUCCUUGCUGUUUUUAAACUCUUUUGGUGUGUUUUAGGGUGUUUUGAAGUAAAAAUCCGAAAAUCACAUAAAAAUUUGAAAAAUUGGUUUUAAAAACCCAAAAAGAGUUGUUUUUGUGUGUUUGUUUGUGUCUUAGGGUACCUUCCAACACAAUGAUGAGGAUUCGGUUUGUAAUUACAUGGCUGUUAAAGAGAGUGAUUAACGUGGAUGAAAGUUUGAUUUACUCUUUGUUUAUGCUUGGUUGUGGUUAUAACUUAUGAAUUCACAUGCAAUCAUAAAAGAAAAAAAUCAGUUUUUGUAACAUGCUUGAAGGAAGGAACUCAAACUAACGCUACAACCUUGUGAGACCUGAGCCUAAAAGUUUAUUUGGAGAGUUAAAAUCUGUGCAUUCUUUGUUUUCUAAGUCGUUGCGUGAUCUCAUUAUUCCUUGCUUGGUUACUAUUUAGAAGGCGUUUCAUCAUUUAGUUCCAAAUGCUAGAACUCAUGCCCAUUUCAUUCAAAGCAUGUUAUUGAUUUGCAUAACACAUAUUCAAGAUGAAGUUGAAGUUGUGUAGUGACCACCACCUUAGCCAAAUGCCGUGUGCCCUAUGUCAUUAUGUUUUGUAGGUUUUUAACCCCGUUGAGCCUUGUUAGCUUUCAUUAUUUGUUAACCCAUGUUUUCCUCACCUAGCCUAGUUUAGGACCAUCCAUACCCUUGUUCUUAAAGCAUAGUAAAGCAUGAUUCGAAUUGAAUUCCUUUUGAUCUAUGUUAGCAGAAAACAAGUGUGGGGGAAGUGUUUUCAUGAGGAAUUGUGUGCCAUAGGCACGGCAAAGAAAAGAAAAGAAAAAAAAAGAAAAAAAAAGAAAAUUUCGUGGAAAAAGAAAAAAAAUUGAAGAAAAAAGUAUGAAAAGUUUGAAAAAAGAGUUGAAAAGUUGAGAAAAAGAGUUCCAAAGUAUUGUUUGUUGAAGUAAGGGUCCAAAACAAUGAAU